GUGUCAGUAUGUCAGUGUGUGUGUGUGUGUCAGUAUGUCUGUGUGUAUGCCAGUAUGUCAGUGUGUGUGUAUGUAGGUAUGUCUCUGUGUGUGUGUGUACGUGUGUGUCAGUAUGUCUGCCAGGAUAUAUUUGUGUGUCAGUGUAUGUGUGUGUCAGUAUGUAUCUGUGAAUGUUUUAAUGUCUGUCUGUGUGUAUGUGCCAGUACGUCUGUCUGUGUGUAUGUCAGUAUGUCUGU